GGCUAUAUAAGAUGCCUUGAAUUCAGUUUUGAGAAUUGAAUGACGUAGAUUUAUCGUUAGAACCAAAAUUCUCUAAGAUAUGUUAAUAGGCCAUUGUAUGAAUCGACAAUCCGACCGUUGGAUCGUCAUCAAACUUUAAUAGGUUAUUAUUCAUAAUAUUUGAGGAAUAAUGGAACUUACAUAUUAGAAAUCCAAUGUACAGAUCUCCUUGAAUUGGAUUUGUAAGUUCGUAAAAUAAAAUGUUAACCGCCACUUGGUUUUGGCAAUUGGCGGAGAUCCGACCGUUGGAUCGUUCCGAAACUUUAGUAUGUUAUUCUAGAAGCAUAAUGUGGAUCCUUGGAAGUUACGGAUCAGAGAUCUGAUUUGUAGAUCUUCUAGACCGAAUUGUGUAGACUUAUGUGCGAUGUAAGUUAUGUAUUGUAUCAAAGAGAAUUCGGAGAUAUAGUUUGAUAAUUGGUCACAGGCACCGAUCGUUUGUGAUGCCUUGAUGUUCGUGCUAGGAAGUUGUAGCACGGACUCCAGGUGAGUGGAUCUUUCCUUGCUCAUCAUAUGUUUCAUGAUUUAUAAUCUAUAAAUGCUUUUAAAUAAAACUGAGAAAUUUAUGCCUUGUCCCCCACACUUAGCUUUUACUAGUCCUUGAGCAAAACAAAGGAAACAAAACAAACAAAACAUAACCUAAACCUUCCAACGUUUCCCUCAGGAAUUUUCAAUGAAACAUGACACAUUAAAAAUCACUACUCACAUAGAUUUUAGUUAUCCUUACCCUCGAGCACAUACUUAAUCAUAGUCACCACUCACUAGCUCGCAUUUAAUCAAAUUAAAACAUGGUUUUGAUGGUAAUAACAUGCCUUAGAGAAUUCCCUCAAUUCCUCACCAGAUAUACUCUCUAUUUUCAAAAUAGACUUUGUGGCUACACUCCCUAUACUAGGUAUAUGUGAGAAGAUUGAUGUAAACAUGUAAACUAACACUCACAUAUGUUAUGAUUAAAGAAGGCAAUUUCCAGAAUUAUUAAUGCAUGUAUAUACAUAUGAUCUCAUGAACGGAAUGCUACUACUUAGACGUGAGAACCAGGGAUACCAUAUGCUCAUACCAAUCCCAAACUCCACAAAUUGAAACACACAACACCCAAGAUAGAAGUCCAAGGGUUGUAACGGGGCUAAGGGUAUUGGCUAACAAAGAAAGGUUAAGGAUAAACAAACGUUCUUAAAGCAAUAGUAAGCAAGGUAAUGAAAUCAACCUAGAAUUCACUCUUGAAUGCAGCAAAUAACUUGAAAUACUAAGGGAAUUUCGUACAUCUUAGGGUCAUAUUCAAACUUUUUGGACCUUUCUUCAACAACCAAUACUUGUGAGUUCAUUCUCACUUAUUUCACAACUUUUUUUUUCUUUUUCCUCUCCUUUCUGUUUUUUUUUUUUUUUUUGCUUUUUCCUUUUUCUACUCAUGCCCUAUUUCUUUGGCACACAAAACACACUUUUGAAACCCUUCACCCAUACUUGUUUUCUGCAAUAAUGUUGAUAAAAAGGAAUUCCCUCUAAGUCAUGCUCCAUUAUACUUUAAGAACAAGGGUGUGGAUAGUCCUAUUCUAGGCUAGGUAAGGAUAAUGUGGCUAACAAAGAAAAUAGGCUAAUUAAGGCUCAAAGGGGUUAAACCUACAAAACAAAUGCAUGGGAUGAAGGCUUUUUGGCUCUGGUGGUAACUACUAACAACUUCAUCUUGUUAUAUGUUAUGUACUCAAUUUUAAGCUUUGAAAGAAACAGGCAUGAGUUAUAGUAUUUGGAACUAAAGUGAUAAAACACAUUCCAAGUAGCAACCAAGCAAAGAAGGAUGAGAUCAUGCAACGACUUUAGAAAACAAGAAAUCACAGAUUAAUAACUCUCCAAAUAAAGUUUAGGCUCAAGUCUCUCAGGGUUGUAGCAUUAGUUUGAGUGAAGGAAAUUUUGUGACAAACAUGUUCAUUUGAGCAACAUCUAUGGAAGGCAAUUAACAAUUAAAGGCGGAAUCAUGCUUGUAUGCACUCAAAAACAAAACAUUACCCAUGAAAUUCAAAGCCUAGUAGAAUGGUGAACCAAGACUUAACUCAAAACAAAGUGAGUUGAGAAACUUUAUACCUUUGUUGAUUCCUCUUUGCAUAAGCAAAGGUUAAUCACCCAAGGAGAAGGCCUUCAUUCUUGCUUCUUAGCUCCAUGUAUUUCUUGGAUGAGGAUGGUUGAAGGGAUUCUCCAAGUUCCCAAAGUUGAGAACCUCUAAGUCUCCACACCAAGGUAGGACUUGAAGAAGAGACGAGUGACCUAGAGGAAGUAAGAUUGCUAGCUAAAAUCCUCUAGGGUGGCUAGCCUCUUAGAGAGAAAGGGAGAGACAUUGUGUUCUCAUCUUUUCUCUAAAAGAAACCCUAAUGAAGAAAAGGCUAUAAAGUCAUAUUUAUACUAACCUUCAUUGGAGUGGCAAACUUGUAAUAAGUCCAAAACCCACUCCUUUAUCAAUAUGGCCGGCCAUAGGGUAUUAUUAGGCUAUUUGGGCCUUUGUGAAUAUUUAGUCAUUAAAUUGUCAUACAACUUAAGUCAAUGGGCUUGACGUUCGAAGCCCAUUGGGCCUUGAGGCCCAAAACUAACCCGAGGUCUUUAACGAACUUUAUUCAUUCGAUUAAUUAACAUAUUAAUUAAUCCUUGCCAUAAAUAAUUAAACCAUUUAAUUAUCCUUACUCAUGUCCGUUGUUUCUUCAAUCUCUACCUUACACGGUGUACGAUCCAUUAGGUUCCUUUUAGCGAGGCAGUAGGUGACUAGAACUCUUUCAAAUCGAUUUGAAUUGAAACUUACUUUCAAUUCUCCCUUUAGUGUUUAUACACGUUUAGGGCUUCCACAAACCAUGAGUGACACCUAGCAGUAUGUCAUGGUUACCCAAGCUAAUCAUAAGAGGUGGAGAACCUAUUCAGUUUAAGAUUACAAUACUCUUGACCACAUUGUUUGGUUUGAUAGUUUAUUCAUGUCUACUAUCCAAUGUGAUUCUUUUACUUAUAUGAUUACCUUGAAUGUGAUUUGGAACGAUUUCCUAAAUCUCAUUCAUACUCUGGCCAGAGAUUCUUAAUCAUAUCAUAGAGUAUUCUCUCUCAAACGGUUUGAAGGUUAGACAUCCCUUGUUGUGCAUUCACUUGCCUCCAUGGCUAAGUGGCUUAACCCCAACUAUGUCGUGGACACCUCUGACAGAGUGACUUUGACAUAGUCAAAAAUCAAGGACUUAACCACAAGACAACUAUGAUGCGUGAGGUCAACAGACUACUUUGCAUUAUCCCAACCAUGAGUUCUCAUGUGACAUGAGUAUAAGAACUCCUCGUUGAUCAUGUUUAGUGGACUCAUUCUCUAUUGAGCACCUACAUGCUUGUUUUGGUGUCAAUCACACCAAUGACUCGAGACCAGUCACUCUCCCCGAGAGAUGACAUAGCACGUACUGAUCUUAACAGAUUGUCAAUGCCCAAUUGGCAAUCCUAUGAUCAAGAACGUUUAGGAUAUGUAUAUGAAAGAGAAUGGUCUCAUGAAUCUAACUUCUUUAAUUACAUUCUCCUAAUUACAUAUUCCUUGGACUUAUCGUUUAAGCAUAUAACAUUUAUAUGAGACGGCUUAAAACAAUAAUCUUUGCCCUCGAUAUUAAACUAGAUUAGUUUAACAUGUGAAAUGUCCAUAAAGUAUCAUCAUAUGAUUGGUUUUAGGGCACAUUUGCAACAAUCUCCCACUUGCACUAGAGCCAAUUAGCUUGGUCAUCAAUGAUGAUACCUGUUCUGUAGUCAUUUCAAAAAUGGCUGAGUAGUAGGCCUAGACAAUGGAUAUCUAUAUGUU
rnacentral:lncRNA from 1 species